rnacentral:rRNA from 3 species
AGAGUUUGAUCCUGGCUCAGGAUGAACGCUGGCGGCGUGCUUAACACAUGCAAGUCGAACGAAGCACUUUAUUUGAUUUCCUUCGGGACUGAUUAUUUUGUGACUGAGUGGCGGACGGGUGAGUAACGCGUGGGUAACCUGCCUUGUACAGGGGGAUAACAGUUGGAAACGGCUGCUAAUACCGCAUAAGCGCACAGCAUCGCAUGAUGCAGUGUGAAAAACUCCGGUGGUAUAAGAUGGACCCGCGUUGGAUUAGCUAGUUGGUGAGGUAACGGCCCACCAAGGCGACGAUCCAUAGCCGACCUGAGAGGGUGACCGGCCACAUUGGGACUGAGACACGGCCCAAACUCCUACGGGAGGCAGCAGUGGGGAAUAUUGCACAAUGGGCGAAAGCCUGAUGCAGCGACGCCGCGUGAGCGAAGAAGUAUUUCGGUAUGUAAAGCUCUAUCAGCAGGGAAGAUAAUGACGGUACCUGACUAAGAAGCACCGGCUAAAUACGUGCCAGCAGCCGCGGU